rnacentral:lncRNA from 1 species
CCGGAGUGAAGAGGACACGACCUGAGCCUCAGCAGGUGGUGGUGAGUUUCAGGCUGCUGAGGCUGUGGCAGAGGGAGUGUGAACUUCUCAAGAGCCUGUCAGCUUCUGUAGGGGGUUCUCCUUACCCUGAGUGUAUAGAGAGGUGAUGACCACUAGUGGGAGCUGAGAAACCAUAUAGCCGCCUGCAACAAGUAAAUGCUGAUAUUUGCGUUGAAGAUGUGGGGAGUUAACAAUCUCUACAGGAGAUUUGUUCUUUUGCUUACAGCUUCUUACUUAGGCAUCUGAGAGGUGAAGUUUUUGGAAAACGAAAAAAAAAAAUUUAACUUAUUAUAUGAGGUAGGAACAAAGGAAAGUCACCAAGUUCCGGAAGGGCAUAGCCCAGCCUUGCUGUAAGAGGGUGACAUCUGUGCCUGAUGAUAGGCUGACACUGGUGACCAGGGCCACCUGGGGCAGAGCUGUGAACCCAGGGAAGCAGGUAAGUGUCAGGGGAGGGUGUGAGAAAACAGCAAACUGGCUGUGCCUGAGAGAAGGGCGCCUGUCUAAUACACUGCCAGGAACAUCACGGAAUGAGGUUGUACCUUUAUUUCUUCCGCAAUUACUUAUCAACCAUGUGCCGUACUGUAAGGGCUGAGAGGGGAUGAAAGAGCUGAAUGGCUUUCUCUAGACUGGUGGGCUGUCUCCCAGUAGUAACUUGCUGGCCCUGCCCUUGAAGUGGGGAAGAGUGUGAAGGGCUCCUUGAUCAAGCUUGUCCUCUUUUCUUACCUCUUCCCCUCUUCUGUUUCCGCUGCAGCUGAACAGGCCAUCAGGCAGCCUGCCAUGGGGCCCUGCUCCAAGAACCGGUCCUUCUGCCGGGCAGCUGUGCUCCUGGUAUUCAUCAGCCUCCUCCUCAGCACUGGGGGUGGAAGAUUGCUUGACAAAGAAAAAGAAGGAAGGAAGGAUGAAAUGAAGGAUGGGAGAAGGAGAAGGAAGAAGUAAAGAGAGAGAGAGAAAGAAAGAAGCAAAGAACUUAGAAUUUCUCUCAUUUUAG